UGGGAAAGUUCAAGGUUACAGCCCGGAGCCCUGCCGCAGGAUUCCCGAGUGGCGAUCGCAGGCGAAACUUUGCCGCGAGCCGACCAUGUUGCAUCCAAAAGUUUCCCACAGGCUUAAAAAGGGAAAAUGGACAACCGUUACACAGAAGAGCCCACAAAAGCUGCAGCAACACACAGAGGGGUAAAGGAGCAGCCACAGACACAGGUCUGCAGGACAUAUGGAAGAACUCUCCCAUCAUGCAAGGGAGAAAAUGAAACUCUCUACUGGCCUCUAUCAGGGACGCUAACAUUUCUCCUCUCCCAUGCAAGUUUUCCAAACCACAAGAUUCUGAUUUCCAGGAACCAGAGGAGAGGAACAGCUUUUUUCAGAGUGAGGCCCUCAGACCUUUCCCGGCUGCCUGGACAAAGGUUUGGAAUGAAUACAAUAGCGAACCAUCCUGCCUUGGACCCGAAUCUAGAUUGAUGACCUAAUACAUCUCUGCCUGCCAUAGCUUUAUGAGCAUCAAGAACUGGGCGCCUGCCACUAUCAACAAACAGAGCUUCCCCAGAGCUUAUCCAUCCACAGAAACUCAAGUAUCCCCCACAGCACAGCUCACAGUCUCCCAGGGCUCACGGCGCUUCCUUGAGCUUUCACCACACGUGACACGGAAACUCCUCUUUGCCAGGAUCAUUCUUAAAGGAGAGGAAGUGUGCCCGUUCCUCUCCCGUGUCAUCUUGGUUUUCGAACAGAGCAAUCACUGAGAAGCUAAGGAAGCUUAGCACCAGCGUCCUCCUGGUCCAGGGCCCCUCAUUUUGUAUUUGUACUUUUGCAUUCUUUUCGUCAAAAGAAUCCCCUCGAUUGUAUAAACUAUAGGCCAUCCCCUCCCCACCGCCCUCCCCCAAAUUGGGAUCUGCUCCUCAAUCCAAGA